AUAAAGCCUUAGUAGUAUAA
rnacentral:tRNA from 1 species